CUAUAGGAACCCACAUGACGUAGGUGUUUCGUGACUGGUAGCUACGUCCCUUGCCAAAUUUCCGCAUCUUGUGUCCCCGCCAUAUUUAAAAAACCCGGUUGCACAUACGGACAACAACAGAGCAUGCGAUUAAUGGACAGUCAAAGCUUCUCUGACGGUCUACGCCACAGAGGAUUUUCAGAGGGGUUUUGAAGGUUCGCCCCGGAAUAUAAAAAUAUUCCUACGAUCAGCUCUCAGUCAGAGAAUGCGGGGCUUUAUCAGGACGCAAAGCAGCUCCUGGAGAAAACUCACACAAGACUACAAAUAAAUUAAGGACCACAACAACUGGAGUGUGAUCAACCGAAAAACCAGUAAAUGAUUUGACACCUUGGACCACCGACAUGUCUACUCAGACAACGCCGCAGCAAAGGACCCUGCGUGCGGUUUCUGGAGGCGAUUAUCCGCAGUGAAAACACCGCAAACUCAGAGGAGUUUGAAGAGACGGAGUCAAACAGCAUCCUGGAUGCUCCUGCUGCCACCAGCAGCCCUUUGCUCAUCAAUGAGCAACCAAACCAGAACCAGCGUCAACCGCCAUCAGCCAGCUGCCAGAACCCUCUGCCACCCUAGACUUGGUUAAAAAAAAUUGCAUUGUACAAGCUUCUUGUUGAGUUUUUAUAUUACAGUUAAAAAUAUUUUAUUAUAGUUGCUGUGUGUUAAGUAUCUGUCGCCACCCUCCCUGUUUUUCCAUGAAAUAGAAAAAGAGCCGACACUCUUCUGGCUGCUGUGCAGGACAAGCUGUUAGAUGCUGAACAGCAGAGGCAAAGCGAUGCAGCUUCAACAUGC